AUGCCUGGAAGUGGUGCCUCUGACACAUCUACACUCUGCAAAGAGAAGAGAGCAGUUAGAAGAAGCCUUCUCCUCAUCAGGAUGUCCAUAUGGUUCCAAGUAGGAAGGAUUUCCACAUACAGCUCCAGAGAAACUCCCUCAGCUAUAACUUCAGAAACACUCAGAUUUUACAUCAAAGAGAAGUGAUGUCAUCUGGAUUAAUGCCUGUAUGUGAAGAGAAUUGGAACCUACCAGCUAUGUAAUUUGCUCUUUUUAAAAACAUUAGGCUGGAUUUCUAAAGCUACAGGACUCAUGUGGUUUUGUUGAGCUUCACUUUCACAGCUUUCACAUCUUUCUUUUGCAGUGCAAAAUUUAGACAAUUAACAGACUAAAAUCACAAUGAAAAAGUCAUUCUGGCUUCUCUUUUUCCAUAGAAUGACAAGGUUUUAUGUUAAUAAAAGUGUACACAUUUGUUUAUAAUGAUUGGAU
rnacentral:lncRNA from 1 species